UAUUUGUGCAGUAAAGCUAUGAGAAUGGCAGGCCAACCCAUUUGUGGACUGGUGCAAUGGCAACAACAGGCUGUGCUAACGCAUUAAUCGCCAAUGCAAGUGUCACAAGUGUCGCCGGCUCAAGGUGAAGUGCAUCGCUCAACCGUAUUUUGCUGUUUGCACACUUGUUUGCCCGCUUGUCAGUCUUUAUGAACGAAUACCCUUUUAGUCGCGAUUAAGGUCGCUGCGCUUCUGUAUAUUUGCAUUAUACGAGUGUUAAUCAAUAUUUAAUUGUGCACUUUUCAGCGUGACCAACGAAGUAGUAUAAUUAUCAAUUUAAUUUUAAGAUUUCGCCCACAUAUCUAUAUACGAAUGUAUAAUGCGUAAACUUGUAUAUAUAGCCGGAAGGUACAUAUACACUUAUAUAUAUAUAAAUAUAUAUAUAUAUGUAUGUAUAUGUACUUGGGAAUACGCAAAUGCAAAGUGCCAACUAAAUGUAUUUGUAAAUACAUACAUAUGUGUACAGCCAAAUGAAUAUAAAAAUCUCAACAGAAUGCAAAACGCGUGUCAAAUAUAUAUGUAUUUUCGUAUUUUCUACUGCCCGGCGUCGAACGCGUGAAGGCGAAUGAAAAUGAAAAGCAAAACAAAGCCCGAUAAACCAAAGCGUAUCCCAAAAUAAAGACAAGUCGCUGAUAUUACAAUUGAUAUUAUACAUGUGUAAAUAUGUUAAUUCGUACUGAAAUUUAACAUUAUAUUUUAUUUAAAAUUUGUUUGGCAAAUUGUAUACAAUAACAUCUGAUAGAGUAUGUGCUCAGUACGUACCCGGGUGUAUGUAUAUACGAUAAGCAUGUGUAUAUACAUAUGUAUAUACAUACUUUAAUGACUUUUAAUCUGCAAAUGCUGUAACUAGGGCAUAUUCUAUAUGCCCAUCUUCUUAACAAAAACAAUAAAGAAAAAAAAACACUUUAUAUAUGUAUAUGUAUAUUGUAUAGUCACAAAA